AUUGAACGCUGGCGGCAUGCCUUACACAUGCAAGUCGAACGGCAGCACGGGGGCAACCCUGGUGGCGAGUGGCGAACGGGUGAGUAAUACAUCGGAACGUGCCCCGUAGCGGGGGACAACCAGUCGAAAGACUGGCUAAUACCGCAUACGCUCCACGGAGAAAGCAGGGGAUCGCAAGACCUUGCACUAUGGGAGCGGCCGAUGCCCGAUUAGCUAGUUGGUGAGGAAAGGCUCACCAAGGCAACGAUCGGUAGCUGGUCUGAGAGGACGACCAGCC
rnacentral:rRNA from 1 species